rnacentral:rRNA from 1 species
GACGAACGCUGGCGGCGUGCCUAAUACAUGCAAGUUGAGCGCUGAAGGUUGGUACUUGUACCAACUGGAUGAGCAGCGAACGGGUGAGUAACGCGUGGGGAAUCUGCCUUUGAGCGGGGGACAACAUUUGGAAACGAAUGCUAAUACCGCAUAAAAACUUUAAACACAAGUUUUAAGUUUGAAAGAUGCAGUUGCAUCACUCAAAGAUGAUCCCGCGUUGUAUUAGCUAGUCGGUGAGGUAAAGGCUCACCAAGGCGAUGAUACAUAGCCGACCUGAGAGGGUGAUCGGCCACAUUGGGACUGAGACACGGCCCAAACUCCUACGGGAGGCAGCAGUAGGGAAUCUUCGGCAAUGGACGAAAGUCUGACCGAGCAACGCCGCGUGAGUGAAGAAGGUUUUCGGAUCGUAAAACUCUGUUGGUAGAGAAGAACGUUGGUGAGAGUGGAAAGCUCAUCAAGUGACGGUAACUACCCAGAAAGGGACGGCUAACUACGUG